rnacentral:rRNA from 1 species
GACGAACGCUGGCGGCGUGCCUAAUACAUGCAAGUAGAACGCUGAAGGAGGAGCUUGCUUCUCUGGAUGAGUUGCGAACGGGUGAGUAACGCGUAGGUAACCUGCCUGGUAGCGGGGGAUAACUAUUGGAAACGAUAGCUAAUACCGCAUAACAGUAGAUAUCGCAUGAUAUCUACUUGAAAGGUGCAAUUGCAUCACUACCAGAUGGACCUGCGUUGUAUUAGCUAGUUGGUGAGGUAACGGCUCACCAAGGCGACGAUACAUAGCCGACCUGGGAGGGGGAUCGGCCACCCUGGGACUGGGACACGGCCCAGACUCCUACGGGAGGCAGCAGUAGGGAAUCUUCGGCAAUAGACGGAAGUCUGACCGAGCAACGCCGCGUGAGUGAAGAAGGUUUUCGGAUCGUAAAGCUCUGUUGUAAGAGAAGAACGAGUGUGGGAGUGGAAAGUUCACACUGUGACGGUAUCUUACCAGAAAGGGACGGCUAACUACGUG